GCUCUUGGAGAGAAGAAACAGAGAUACAACGCUCACAAUAGACACCAGAACCUGAAGCAUAUUAUGAGCAAACUGAGUAACGAUCGAGGAGUUUUCGCAAGCAGGUGGAGGAUGAUCCUGAAGAACUUACCAAUGAGUAUGCGGAGUACGCAAAAUCUGAAGCUCCAAAGUUCACUCCGUCGAAGACAAACGCCAGUGAGUUUAUCGGCUGUGUAGCUGCGAUGAACUGAUGAGUUUCCAGAGAAAGAUGAGAAUCAGAGGAGUUCAUCAAUGGCAUUAUUUUGUUAUGCAGGUGCAUGGUACUAUUGAUCUCUGCGACUGUGGCUAUGUGUUGUUAUCUUUGAAGCAGAAAGAGAAUAUUCUCCAAUUUUUUGUUCAUUUACGAGGAUCAAGGAAGAAUGAAAGAAAACAGCCCAUGAAAUAACGAAGUAAUUAUUAUAUGGGGAUGAGCCUGAAUGCUACGUUUGUUUCCUACACCAAAUAACUCUCAGAUCUUAGAUUUUCUAUGUAAAGUUGAUGUGACCAAAACCCUACUUAAAGAUUAAAGAAAACCAAUGCUGAUUUUAUUAUUAGAGGUUGUUUUUAUUAAUUUAUUUUAGUUCAUCUGUUCAUUGGUAAGCAGAUGGAUUUGGUGAAGAAAUGUAAAGUUUUAGAA